AGUUAAAAAGCUAUAGAUAUGCCUAGUGUCUUGAAAACACUACGAAAGAAGUUCAAGUCUUCUAUUAACUU
rnacentral:tRNA from 2 species